rnacentral:rRNA from 1 species
AGGACGAACGCUGGCGGCGUGCUUAACACAUGCAAGUCGAGCGGAAAGGCCCUUCGGGGUACUCGAGCGGCGAACGGGUGAGUAACACGUGAGCAACCUGCCCCUGGCUCUGGGAUAGCCUCCGGAAACGGGGAUUAAUACCGGACAUGACCCUUGACCGCAUGGUUGGGGGUGGAAAGUUUUUUCGGCCAGGGUGGGGCUCGCGGCCUAUCAGCUUGUUGGGGGGGUGACGGCCCACCAAGGCGACGACGGGUAGCCGG